UCUUCCAAGCUUUAUAAUGGCAGCGAAUGGGGGGAUUUGAAGCAAAAAAGUGUGUCUGCCGGAAGCUAGUUAUUUUAGAUUAUAAAGUAUUAAAUAUGGAUGUAUAUCUCCGAUUCUAUUAGUCUGAAAGAAGAAAGUCAUAACCACCUUGGAUGGUUUGAGGGUGAGUAAAUCAUGGGGUGAUUUUCAUUUUUGGGUGAACUAUCCCUUUAAGUAUUAAAGUAAUGGAAUUCAAACUAAACAUACAAGAGACAAAUUCCAGAUGUAAUUCUCCAAACAGAGAAUCCUGAUUGCUCCCAAAUGCUAUGUCAGCAACGAUCUUCACUUGCCUUGCAGAAAAAAAUAACUAGAUUUCAACUUUAAUGUGUAAUCUAUUGUGGUGAAAUCUAUGAAAUCCAAAGUUCAGCCUUCCAAAGUUCAUGUCAGAAAACACUUUUAACAACUUUCUAACUGGAGAUAUACUGUCUUUUAUCUGCAGAAUUUAAAGCACAGCUGUGGCAUUGCUGGUUUCUUGGCCCUGGUCCAAAAAAAAAAAAAAAAAAAAAGCUAAUUGCACUCAUUUCAUACCAUCUUUCAUAUGUCCAUUAAAUAAAAUUAUUUGUCAUGAGUAAAAGGGGCUGUGCUGGGCAGGUAUUUAAGUUACUCAAACAGUGAAACAAAAAAUAUUUAAGGACUGUAGUGUUCAUGGCCGACAGCUGAAGUUUUGUAGACCCUAAUUUACUUCAAAACUGAAAGUAAAAAUAAAUACCACUUCCUUUUCGUCAUAACUGAGUCCAUAUUUAUAGCAGAGCAAGAGCAAGAGCCACAUCAGUGUACGAGCCAAAAGAUUUUUUCACUUUUUCCAGUUUGUUGAGGCAAAUCAGCAUUAUGUCUACAGUGGACAGGGAAGUUGUUCUGGAGGCGCUGUCUGUCCUCGUUGGAACAACUGUGAAGCCUCGCAAUGGAUUAGCUGGAAAGUUGGAUCCUAAUGAACUCAAUAUACAUAAUUUUCUGCCAAAAGGAUUCCUCAAACAAAUUGCAGAUCUGUUUAAUAAUCAUCUGCAACAAGCAACACUGGUAGGUUUCAACUCAGAUGUACGUGAGGAGAUGUUUGUGGACAUGGAUGAAUUCUUCGAACCUCGCUUUGAUUAUGAUUUCACACAUUUAAGUGACAAGUCAGUAUGCAUGCGGGUGGUGAGCCAUAUAAACGUCCAUGUGGAUGGUACCGCAUUGCUCUCAAAGUCCUGAACAAGUACCCUGAUGGAAACGCCUGGCUGGGCACAGAUGGAUGGAGGAGUCACUCAGUGGCUGCAGGUCCUAGACAAUUCUACGGUAGAGGAAUCUAUUCAACAUACGACAUAGAUCAGGCUUCUGGCUACAGCACGGAAUUUACAUCCAAAAAGACCGGGAAGAGAUACAGAGUCUUGAUGCAGAACAGGAUCAAUCCAAAGAUGAGGAAAGUGUGUGACAGACAGGACUACUGGCUGAUUGAGAUUCCUGAAGCCACAUCUGCUGCUGAAGAGGAGGAGAUCGUGGAGAAGUCCAUUCGUCCUUAUGGGAUUCUGCUGAAAGAGGUGUGAGAGAGGAAUCCAAACCAGCUGACUGGGAUCUUCAUUAUGAUGUUUGUUUUCAUUGUUAAUUUCUAUAUAUAAAGUACAUAAUUGGUGGAACAGGUCAUAUUGUUAUCAAAUGAUAGACCUUUUUAAAUUUGCUCUGCCUUAAUUAAAAUAGAAUAUGUAUCCUCAAUGGUAUAGAAAGUCUGUGAUAUAUUAAUAUUAUAUAUUAUAAUUUACAAACUUUUUUCAAUUAAUCAGAACCAGAAAAUUUUGAUAUGUAAAAUUAUAAAAUUAUAUAAUAUAUAAAAUUCUAAUAUACAUUGUUAGCACUUAAUGUGAUGUGUUAAAGAACAAAUCUGACUGUUAUCCUUGUUGAUUUUAGUCAUAAUAGAAGACGAAUUUGCAUUGCAUUCUGUUUUCAAGCGUUCAACUGCAUUCAAAUUAUGUGAGUAAUUAUGUUAGUUUUCCUUAGUUUAAAACCUAAAAUAUUGGUAACUAUAUAAAGUUGCAUAUGAUUAAUCACCACCAGUGAUCACUGCAGGUAAACACAAAUGUGUGACCAGAUUUGAUUCAUGUAUACUUUGGACAUACAGUAUACUUGCCUUUUGUAACCACUGCAAUACUUUCGAACAAUUUGUCUUAAUGAAAUAUGUUUCCUACAUGUUAGUGACAUUUAAUAAAGAUGAUAAUUUUUUCAUGACUGGCA